GUGUUCGCUUCAGCAGCACAUAUACAAAAAAUGGAAUAAUAUAGAGUAGACUAGCAUGCCUCCUGCGCAAGAAUGACAUGCAAGUUUGUGAAGCAUUCCAUAUUUUU